CCGUAAAUGAGUAUUUUAUUAAGUGCCUCAGCCACAUCAAAUUUUAGACAGACUCUCGAAUUGAAAUGGAGGAAAAUAUUGACUUGUCAUAUAAGAGUAACUUAAAUCAGCAAUUUGUUACAAGAAUAAAUUUAUAGAUUAAAAUACUAUCUGCCCAAAUCUUAAUGUUGCCUUUGGUAGUCAGAAUUUGGAUGGGAAGUGGAAACUGUAUAAUUCUUAAAAAUAUAAAUUUCAAGAUUUUUUAUUUUUAUUUUUAGGAUUAGUAGGAAUUCUUUGUUUGAAUACAAAAUUGAAUGGAAAAACUGAUAAAAAACUAUUUAUUAAAUAUUAAUGACAAUGACAGAAAUACCCCACAUACUUAACUAAGAUUAUGCUGUUGUUUUAUUCAAACAUUAUAGCUGUUUGAUAAAAAUUUCAGAAUCAGUUCAUUAUCCGUUGUCAUCAUUGCCCAGAAUUAAUUUGAACUAAACAUGAGAUAAAAAUUCCGUAAUCAACUAUUAUUUCAGAGAAACUUUUCAACAAUUCUUCAAACAUUUAUAGUUAUCUUCAAUCCUCCUUUCCAACACUUUAAAAUUUAAUGAAGAAGGCAUUUGACGAAUAGCUCUCUCAUAUUAUCUUUGUGGCGAUAAAACAACUCCAACUUCAGUACGUUUUCGACGAGAAUCAAGCCUGUUUGCUUCUUCUCAAUGGCAGAUAAUCCAUCUAGCUUUUCUAGUUCCUCUUGUACAUCAUUGCACUUUCUAGCUAGCUCAACCUGCAUCAGUUCCUGUUCGACGACAGUUCACUUCGUAGCGCUUCUCCCAAGUUUGCAAAAACCUCCAUGAUUGGCUUCAAUCCAUCAAGUAGCUCCUUCCGACACUCGUCAAUUUAGCCUCAGCCUCGGCAACACGAGCUGCAUGUUGUGGCUUCUUUUGAGUUUAUUAUUCGAAGGGUUCAAUUAUUGGGCGAUGAGACUGAGUUUAACCUGGCUAGCCAGUCAAUAGAAAACAGAGCAACAACAGAGAGAAGGUAACUAAAAGGAAAGAAAGAGAUAUAGGUAUACUUUUCUUAGUUAGCUCUAGCUAGCUCUCCAUCAAAUCGUGAAUCACAAAAUGGGAUUGUUGGACUUUUUCAUAUUACUUAUCGGAGUUGUUUAUCAAUGCCAAGCCAGGACAUAAGCACAGGGCAAUGCAUGUCUGUAUUUUUUUAUCUGAAUUGUGAAAAUGGACUGCGAAGGCUGUGAAAGGAGAGUCUGAAGUUUUGUACUGCACAUGAGAGGUCUAUUCUUACUUUACUUCAGAUAUCCUUUAAUUACUAACUUGUUACAUAUUGAUAUGAAUUGUUGAUAUGCACCUUGUGUUUGUAACUUAACGAUCCAGGGGCGAAGUCAGUGAAGUAUUUGAACAACAACAAAAACAACCACAUAAUGCAAGUAUUUGAACCACAGAAUGCAAUAAACUUCAACAUCCGUAAUACAACAACAAGUAAUCAAAGUAAUACCUGAAUUGAGAAAAUUCGCAGUGACAGUAGAGUUGAGAAGGAAAUUGAUUUUCUAUAGAGUUUCUUUGUUUUGAUCUCUUCUCCUCUUCCGUCAAGAGGUAAACCUUAGUGAGCUGCGGAUCCUUACAAGGGGAUGGGGAUGAUUAGGGAUAUGACAAAUGAUGGUGCACGGGGAAGGGGAUGAUUAGGGAUCUAGACUAUACCUAAUCAGCUAUCUUGGUUGACCUCGAGACUGUGGAACGGACUUCGUCGAAAUUGGAAGUGACGCCAGAGUCACGAACACCGUCGCUUCCGGCUUCAGAGAGCUACGGAGGCGAUCAGAGAUACUGUGGAAAUCAGAUGGAGCUGCGAAGGUGGAGUUCGAAUUUCUCUCGCAUCGACGGCAGCUGUGGAAAUCAGAUUGAGCUUGACAUAAUAGGGUUUCGAAGUAAUAUAUAUCAAUGGCAAUUUUGUAAUAAUAGAUACCUACAAGGGCAGCGUGUAUAUUUUUUAGAUAGAAUCUCAAAAUUCGA
rnacentral:lncRNA from 1 species